rnacentral:lncRNA from 1 species
AGGCCGACCCUAUCCAUUCCCAGCGCCAGUUCCCCCCCUCCUCUCGGAUCUCUCCUCCCUCCUUCUACAGCCAUUGGAGCCCGAGCAGAGCUCGAGCUCGCCGUCGUUCUAGCCUCCCCUCCUUCCUUCUGAGCCGCGCAUUAGCUCCGUCACAACUCCCUGAAGCUCCCUAGCCACGAGCCCGACGCCCAGAUGCAGUGAAACGACGAGAAGCAGUCGUCUUCUUCCUCGGGUCACCGAAGAUCGUCGCCGGCGUUCUUCCUCUCCAGGCCGUCCCCGAGCAAACUAGCGCCACCACUGCACUCCUCGUGAGCUUGCGCGUCUUUCCCCUAAGAUCUCCCCGUCGAUCCCCUCCUCUAGGCCUAGUUCCACCGGAGCCCGACAAGAUCCGCCGCUGCAGCUCGUCGCCGGUAACCCUCCGGUGAUCAGCUCGUCCUUCUGAGGGCACCAGCAGCUUCAGGAUGUCGCGUAGAUGCCGUAGGAGCUAAGUCCCGUGCGCAACUCCCUCUGUAUCGAUGACCUCGAUGACGACCGAACCUUGACCGCCGCCAAGCUCGUCGCCGGCAUCAUCUCCGACCAGAUCAGCCCCUGCUAAGUGCAGAAAUGCAACCGCGGGAGAAGUGUCGUUCUUCUGGUGCUCUCCGCGCAGCGUUUGGCCCUCUGUGCGCCGUUUCCGAUGCCCCCCGACGUUCUGGUGCUCGCCGGAGGCUCCCAGCCGGCUAGGACGACCUCGCCACCGGUGGAUCUCAGCUGGCCUGAGCCACUGACGGGUGGGGCCAACCUCUCGAUAGUUUAGAGAUAAUAAAUAUAAAUCAGAUAAAUUAAUAAGACACUGACAUGUGGGUCCAGUGAGUUUAAUUAACUAAAUAAGAUUAAUCCUAAUCUAAAAUUGACCAGAGACACUGACCAGUGGGUCCCACUGGUCAGGUUUGACUUUCAACGGCCAGAUAGACCUGCUGAUGUCAUGCUGAUGCAGUAAAAGUAUUUUCCAGUUUAGAAAUAAUUCCAGAAAUGUUUAAAACUUCAAAAAUUCAUAGAAAUUAAUCUGUAACUCCAAUGAAAAUAAUUUAUAUAUGAAAAAGUAUCAGAAAAAUUCAAGGAAUCUGAAUAUGUUAUUCAUGUUUGAAAAAGUUACAGAACCCAAACAUAUAGAUUAAUGAAUAAGUCAAUUCUUAUAAAUACCUUAUAAAUGGAAUAUAGAAAAUAUUUGAAUUUCACUAUGAUUGACAUGAUCAAACACUGUUCUAAAUCCAAACCAGCAACUUAACAUGUCAUCCCAUGCAUGUUAACAUCAAGUUGAUCUGAGCAUCAGGUCGAAUCAAUUAAAACGGUAUCCGAGAAUACCUCGUUUGAAGUGAUAUUUGAAUAUGAUUCAAAUCAACUUCAAACCUAAAAUAUGCUAACUAUAUUAGUUUGUCACCUUCCAUUCUCAUGCCAUGCUCAUGCAUCAUCUUGUUUGCAUAUGAUUGUUAUUGAUUGUUGUCAUUCAUUUCGGUAGGCUCCGCUCCCCCGGAUUCCACCGAAUAUCCGUCUGACGGGUAUUGUCCCUCCUCUGAGCAACAAGGCAAGCAACCAUUUUGAUCAUCCCGAUAAAUCCCAUGUUCUUGCUCCUGCACUUACUUAUUGCAUUAGGAUCAAAUGCUUCAACUGCUUUUGCCACGUUAGUUGAACCCACUUCCUUUGCAUGACCUAUCCUUGUCACAGUAAAUAGUAGAACCUUGCAACCUAGCAUACCUGGUAGUUGCUUGAGCCAUGAUGUGCCUUAUCCUGCUAUGCAUGCUAUGCUUAGAGUUGUGUAUGGUCUGUCAUCUGGGAGAUGAACAGAAUUGUGAGAAUGUGUUCGGUAAGCAAAGGUUGUGUGUUGAACCUGAUUUGGUAAAGGUACCGGUGAAAGGCUGUGUAGGAGUACAUGGUGGGUUGUUUCAUUGGAACCGUCCUUAGGAACUGAGUUCCGUGUAUGUAAUCCAAGACUAGAUACUACCACACGUUGGGAUACUUAAUUGACCCUCUCGACUUAUUAAUCGCUUAGUACUCGGUCCAGGAGUUGCAAGUAGUUUCUGGUGUUUAUAGUCAUGCUGGAGGCCGUGCAUGGUGCUGACCUGAGAGGUGGGCCGUGAUGCGGUAGUCAGUGGCACGGUGUACCAAGUGGCACCCGGAUGGUGGGCUUGGGAACCCUGCGCACAUCGUUUGAGGCCGUGACGGAAACCCCGGCCGGACUUUCGUACGGGUUACUCUCAGAUAGGCGAUAAACCUGGAUUACGUACUAGUGUGGUUAACGGUCGUGGCCGACUCCCUCGCUAGGCUUCCGCUUGAAGGUUGCCGAGGUGCAUGACGUGCACAUGGCGAUAAGUGGCGAGAGCGUGUGUGACGAAGUACACCCCUGCAGGGUUAUGAUCUAUUCGAAUAGCCGCGUCCNGUGAUGCGGUAGUCAGUGGCACGGUGUACCAAGUGGCACCCGGAUGGUGGGCUUGGGAACCCUGCGCACAUCGUUUGAGGCCGUGUCGGAAACCCCGGCCGGACUUGCGUACGGGUUACUCUCAGAUAGGCGAUAAACCUGGAUUAGGUACUAGUGUGGUUAACUGUCGUGGCCGACUCCCUCGCUAGGCUUCCGCUUGAAGGUUGCCGAGGUGCAUGACGUGCACAUGGGGAUAAGUGGCGAGAGCGUGUGUGACGAAGUACACCCCUGCAGGGUUAUGAUCUAUUCGAAUAGCCGCGUCCGCGGAUAUGGACUACUUGGAGACAUAUGUUGUCCAUAGAUAACUUAAAUGGCUACUCAUAAAUUGUCAAGAUAAGCGUGAGUGUCGUGGACGGCAUUUCUGUAUGGAGACGGAAUGAUUCCACGAUGGUGUAUUGUUGUGGUGUUAGUGGACUCGUGUGCGAGAAAUCAAGUUGUCAAAAUUAUUUAAAAAUGCAAGUUGUCUAGCCACGAGUCAAAUGGUGGCUUUCCGCAUGAAACCCCACAAUACCUUAUUUAUACCUUGCAUGAGUAGAUAGUUAUCCUAAAGUCUUGCUGAGUACCUUCGUACUCAUGUUUGCUUAAUAAUUGUUGCAGAGGUUGCUAAUGACCCUAAUGGAGGGUUCUUCGUAGACAUCGACGACGACGAGUAGCUGGUGUCCCAGCUACGAUCUGGCCCUACGUUGGAUAUGUAGUAUAGUCAGGCCAUGUGCUUUCUAGUUGCACCUGUCUGUACUGAGACAGUUUUAAACUCUUCCGCUAGCUUGUAACUGAAUGACUGCUAUUAUGGGUCGUGAGACCCUUAAUGUGUAAUAUUAUGUGUGCGGAUCUUCCGAGCCUCUUAAAUAAAGCUUGUAUGUUUUUGGUUAUGUUGUGAUGCCAUCGAUGUACCUAUACAUAUCGGUAUGUCAUGCGUACGUGUGUCGUACUUGAUAUGUAUGGCGUUCGAUUACCUAGUCGUGAACUUUAGUAGCACUCCUUACAAGGAAAUGCCCCUUUGUGAUCCAACGAGCCUUGGUAGUUCGCUACUGCUCCGGACACAUUGGUUGACCGGCAUGUGUCCUUCUUAGCUGCUUUGUCUGUCCCCUUUGGGGAAAUGUCACGCGAUGUAAUGGAGUCCUUGUAGCUUGCUACGACUCGUCUACACUCGCUGGUGACCGACACCUGCUUUGUUGGGUCAUGUAUGCCUGUCCUUGUGCGGUACUGCCACUUUGGUUUGUGACUAGACUUGUCGAUCCGGGUUCUUUGACAUUGGAAUGCUAGCGACACUAUUGCAUACGUGAGUCAAAAGACACAAACGGUCCCGGCUAAGGUAAGGCUGCAGCCGUGGAGUUAACCGUGCAUGAGACUGCAAUGAGAUGCGAUGUGUUACAGGCUGGAUUCCUAUGACUUAGGAUCGGGGUCCCGACAAAUGGUUUCACCGUAGUCGAUACCCUCGACUUGGGAGUAGCCUUGAGCCACCAAUCUUGCCUUGUUUCGAACCACAAUCCCAUUGGCAUCUUGCUUGUUUUUUAAUAUCCAUUUGGUCCCGAUGACAUUAUGUUCCUCCUUUGGUCUUGGCACUAAUUUCCACACUUGAUUACGCUCAAAGUUGUUGAGUUCUUCAUGCAUGGCCAUAAGCCAAUCCUCAUCAUCGAGCGCUUCUUGUACCUGUUGAGGUUCACAAUACGAAACAAACGCGUGAUGCUCAAAAUAAUUCCAAAUUUGUUGACGAGUGGAUACUCCCCUUUUCAAACUACCAAGCACAUUCUUCAUAAGAUGUGACUUGACUCUCAGCUUGUUUGCAAUCUUGGCUGCGUGACGCUCCAAGAGUUCUCCAUUUGAUAACUAGGGAGCAUCGACUUGAUUACUUUGCUUGGCCUUGCGUUUUGAUCCUCCCUUGGCACCAGUAGCCAUCUUAGGUGCUGUAGAAGGAAAUUGAGAGACAGCAUCCUGAUCAACUUGAUUUUUGACUUGAGCAGGCUCACUGGUUUGUCCUUGAUCUUGUGGUUGCUCUUGAUCUUGAUCUUGUGCCUCUAUUUGGUCUGGAUCUUGUAGUUGCACUUGAUCUUGAUCUUGAGCAGAUUCGGAACCUUGUGUAAGCACUUGGACAUCAUGGGGCACAUCACCAUCUUUGAGCAAUUGAUCUUGUCCUUGAACUUGUUCAACUGGUUGAGGGUUUUCUCUUUGUUCAUCGGAAGCCUGUGGGGCUUGUGAGGAUGAUUGCUCCACUUGAGUAGAGCAUUGUCCUUCUCCUUCGGCCACAAGGGGUUCCUCAAUGGGGAGUAUUUGACCAAUCCCCAUUCUUCUUAUUGCUUGGGAAGGAAUUUCAUCACCUACAUCACAGAGACCACUUUGCUCCACUUGGGAGCCAUUAUUUUCAUCAAACUCCACGUUACAUGUUUCCUUAAUGAGCCCGGUGGACUUGUUGAGGACACGGUAAGCAUGAGAGUUUGUAGCAUAACCAACAAAGAUGCCCUCUUGAGCUCUAGAAUCAAAUUUAGCUAAACGUGCACCUUUCUUGAGAAUGAAACACUUACACCCGAAUACCCGGAAGUACUUGAGAUUGGGUUUGUUUCCGGUGAGAAUCUCAUAUGGGGUCUUGUUCAAGCCUUUGCGGAUAUAGAGCCGAUUGGAUGCAUGACAUGUUGUGUUGAUGGCUUUAGCCCAAAAGUUAUACGGAGAUUUGAAUUCCGCCAUCAUUGUUCUUGCCGCGUCCAUCAACGUCCGGUUCUUCCUUUCCGCCACACCAUUUUGUUGAGGGGUGUAUGGUGCUGAAAAUUGAUGUUUGAUUCCCUCAUCACCUAGAAACUCAUCCAAGGUGUAGUUCUUGAACUCGGUGCCGUUGUCACUUCUAAUCAUCAAAAUCUUUGCUUCAUGUUGACAUUGAGCUUCAUUAGCAAAGUUGAUGACAGUUUGUUGAGUCUCACUCUUCUUCUUGAAGAAAUAUACCCAGGUGUAUCUUCAGUAGUCAUCAACAAUCACCAAGCAGUACUUUCUGCCCCCAAGACUAUCAAAUGAUGGAGGACCGAAGAGAUCCAUAUGAAGGAGCUCCAACGACCUCUUAGUGUAAAUGAGUGUCGUUGGACGAUGAGAAGUUUCAUGAAUCUUCCCUUCAAUGCAGGCACUGCAAGCACGAUCUCUGGCAAAACUCACAUUUUUUAGUCCAUGAACAUGGUCCCCUUUGAGAAGACUUUGCAAAGAUCUCAUAUUGACAUGAGCUAGUCGGUGAUGCCAAAGCCAGCCCACAUCAACUUUAGCCAUUAGACAAGUCGCGGUCUUAGUGGGUCGCUUUGAAAAGUUCACCACAUAGAGACCAUUUUUGACAUAUCCAACAUAUGCUACUUUAAGAGUCUUGCUCCACAAAAGGACCACGGUAUCAAGAUUAAAGAAUGUGGAAAAGCCCAUAAUUGCAAGUUGACGAACCGAAAGUAAAUUGUAAGCAAGGGACUCAACAAGCAUGACCUUCUCAAUAGAUAACUCUUGAGAGAUGACCACCUUACCAAACCCCAAUACCUUUGACGAUGAUGCAUCGGCGAAUUGGACAUGGGUGGGCAUAGAUGGGGAAGUGAAAGUGCAUUAUAUCGACUAGAGGGGGGUGAAUAGGAUAUUUUUAGAAUUUCAUCACUGAGGAAAUUCCUUUUGAAGAAAUUCCUCACUGAUGACUAACUUACAGCAGAAGCAGUUAAGGAUCAGUCGUGCAAUCGUUCACAACAGCAGUAUUAUAGAGUGAAGAUUAUGAAAACAGAUCGCACAGUAAGCAGGCACGCAGAAUACAGAUGAUGAUUAACUCAAGUGAAGAAUUUGGGGUUGAGGAAAUUCAGAGAAAGUCUUCAGCAAAUUCUUCAAACAGUCACAGUGAAUGUCAUCAACACAUAAUACAGAGAAUGUAAAGAGUUGAGAAAUUAGAACCCGAUUCUUGAUGAAGACUGUUGUUGAUGACCCAGUUUCAACUGAUGUGACAGUUGUACAUCUGGUUUGGAGCGGCUUGGUAUUGAAACCAAAGGACACCCAGUCCCGGGACACAUAGUCCCUACCGUAUUAUCCUUGAGCUAAGGACACACAGUCCUCGCCCAACACUCGUGGUAAGUCUUCAGGGCAGACUUCCAAACCCUCACAAACUCGGUCACCCGGCGAUCCACAAUUAACUACUGGAUUGCUCUAGAUCAUGACGCCUAACCGUCUGGAGGAUGCAGAGUCCUCAAAGGUAAAAGGCUUCAGUCCCACACAAGAACAACUUCUUCAGUGAUGCUCAAUCACUAGGUUUGGUUUGUGGUUUCGGUGGGUGGUGUAUUUCCUCACAGAUGAUUUACUCUCAAAGGCUCUGAGGAAUUUGGGUUGCUCUUAUGACAAGUGUCAUUUUAUAACGGAGCAGCCAACCAGCUAGUGGUUGUGGGGGCGGCUAUUUAUAGCCUGGGAGCAUCCCGACAUGAUUUGACAUUAAUGCCCUUAAAUAAUAUGACCGUUGGAGUGGAUAAGACCAGUGACUUGGCGUGGCUUAUCGAAACGGUCGGGACCCUCAACUGUGAGAGUCCUCAUGUCACUCAUAUUCCUCACUUGAGGCUUUUGGUAGGAUUUGUCUUGGGUUGAGCAUCAUGAGGAAAUUUGUUCCAUAGUGUUACUUUGACCCCCUUUAACAGUACGGUGUUCCUAUUCAUCAAAUGCGAAGAAAGUAAAACAGAAAACGUAAAUCUUCACGCUUCAAUUUCUUCAAAAUGAUUUUCUUCAGGAACCACCGAUCUUCUCAAUAUCAAUAUCUUCAUGAGGAAUAUCAAUUUCAUCGCAGAUUCCUCGUGAUUCAUUUCUUCAGCUUCAGACCAAUUUCUUCAACUGAAGAUAUACAUUUUUAGGGGUCGAGAUUCUUCAAAUAUCUCAAACUCCUCACUGACUUAUAGAUCCUGUGUACACUUAUAAACACAUUAGAUACUUAACCUAUAAGUCUUCAAACCACCAAAAUCACUAAGGGGCACUAGAUGCACUUACAAUCUCCCCCUUUUGGGUGGUUGAUGACAAUUAGGUUAAGUCUUCAACAGGGAAUAAAAAUGUGAAGUGUACAUACUCAAUUGAGGAAUUUGAAGACAAGAUUCACAGAGACUCCCCCUGAAGAUGUGCAUACCUUGAGGAUUUUGCUUAUAUAGCAUAUGCACAUUGAUGAUUUAUAUCAUGGAGAUCUCCCCCUGAAUCUUGUAAAUCAUGCAUACAUAUAACAUAUCAUAUGAAGAAAAUGAAGAUGCAUGAUGGCAAAUGGUAUCUGACGAAUUUCAGCAUGCGUGCAUUAAAACUUGAGGAAUAAGCAUGCGAAGAAAAACGUUCAAAAAGGCGUCAGAGUACCAUCGGGCUUAAGUUACAACUCAUUACAUAAAAACUUCAGAAGAGCCAAGAGUUUGUAACUUAAAUAUAGUUCAUAAGCCCCAAAAAUAAAUCCCGUUUGAAGACUAACUCUCAAGUUUGUCCCCCUUUGUCAUCAAGUGACAAAAAGGGACAAACUGAGGACUAACGCCCGUGAAGUCUUCAUUUCUUGGCGGUGGAUGAAGAUCCUUGGCGCUUCUUGGGUGUAGUCUUCUUCCUUGGGCCUGUUGCGGUGUCGAGCUAUUCCUCAUCAGAUUCGGCGGUGCGGAAAGACGAGAAGGAACUAUCUUCAAGAUCUGGCACUGGAAUGGGCCUGAACUUCUUCUUGGGAGGCCACGACCAGUCAAAGUCCUGCUCAAAGUUCAAUUCUUCAAGCUCAGUCUGGGUCUUCAGAUGUGCAAGGGUAGCCCAGGUGCGAUCAAAAACCUCAUGCAGAUAGUGAUGAUUAAGUUUCACAGAGUUCUGUGUCUCAGUGAGGGUUUUCACAAUGGCACCAAACUGGCGUUUGACCCAUUUGUGGUUGUGAUCCACCUUCUGAUGAAGACUGAGGAGAAGCUCUCUGGUGUUUAGCACGCGAGGAGGAACAGGGCUUGGUGGACGAGUCUCAGUAUCGUCCCAUGAGGAAUAUGCAUCUGGCUCUUUAAAUUGACCAUCAAGAGGCCUGCUGCCUUCAUCAAUCACAGACUUUCCUUUUCCCUCAAUGGGCUCGAAAGUCUUCUUGUUGACCCGGAUAGGAGGCAUCUAACCAACAUGAUUCUGGAAAUCUGCGUGGAAGUUGAUGCCUGUCCUUGUCCUGAGGAAUCUCAUGAUCCAUGGUGCAUAAAUUUUGUGAUCAUAUGGGCACAUUGCAUUGUCAUCCAAAGUCCUCAAGAAGAAAUCAUGGAUAUUCAUCGGGAUGCCGUGAAUGAUGUUGAAGAGGAUAUUCUUCAUGAGGCCGACGACAUCUUCUUCAUCGUCAUGGCCUUUGAUGGGCGCGAGCACACUGCAGAGAAUGCGGUAGACAGACCGGGUUGUGUACUUGAGCUCAUGGGCGAGGAAUGUGGUUCUUGAGGGCUUUCCUGCAGCCAAAGGCUUCAUGAGGACUUCCAUCAUUCCAUUUGGUAGCUCACGCUCACCAUAAAGCUUCACUGCCCCUUCUGAAGGAAUUGGUACGGGCAGUUCUCUGAGGAGUUCAGACGCUGGAGCCUUGUAGUGAGUGUUUUGGGUCAUCCAGUCGAACACCCAAGUGUUGAUGUCAUCAGCAUUGCCCGAGAUGUGCAGAGUUGCAUAGAAUUGAAGAAUGAGCUCACUAUUCCAAUCUGAUAUGUCGGAGCACAUAGGGAGCAAACCUGCAUCAUGAAGUACGCUGAGGACUGGUUCCAUGCACGGAAUUUCUUCAAGUUCAUCAUGAGGAAUGUGCCUGUGCUGGAAUAUCUUGUUGCGUCCACAGAGCACAGAAGCAUAGUAGUUCAUCUGAGUCCUUGUCCAAAACUUCAGAUGCCUCAUUUGAGGCUUGUCAUAAGGAUUCUCUCCGAUGAAUUACAUGUGUUCCUCAAAGAAAUUUUCUUUCUGAAACUUGGGCCGCUUCGAGAAUGGCUGGCGCUGAACUGGCUGGAUAGUGUGCUGAGGAAUGGGUGGGGAAACAACCAUGGCAGUUUCUGGGUUGAGCACAAUGAAUUCAUUGUCAGGGGCGGGAACAUUUUCUUCAGUAGUGUCCUCAGGUUGAGGAAUUUCAUCAGCUGGUAUUUCUUUCUCUGGUUGAGCUUCAGGCUGAGGAAUUUCUUCUUCCUCCUCAGCUUGAGGAGUUUGGUCAGCCUGUUCAGUGGGAGGAGCCUGCUCAGACUGGACAUAUUCUUCAGCUUGUUUUUCAUCAGCUGACUUUGUGGCAGAAGCAGAUUCAUCAGCUGCUGCAGCUGAAGCUUGAGUAGUCUCUUUCUGAGGAAUAUGAGGUUGAGGACUAUCAUCAAUCUGUAUUUCCUCAUCAGUAUGCUCCUCAGAGGCAGCAUCCUUCAUUUCCUCAUCUGCCCUUGUAGUUUGGUCACCAAUGACGACCAUUUCAUAUGAAGGUGCAACAUUUAGAGGCACCGGGUCCAGAGGGGCAGAUUCUUCAGUUUCCUUGAGGCGUUUUGCCUCGAUCUUUUCUUAUGCUGAGGAAGCUUUUCUUUUCUUUGCUUCCUUCUCAGCAGCUCUUGUCUUUUUCGCGUCUGAUGCAGACGGGAUUAACUUCUUCACCUUUGAAGCUUUUGGUGAAGGUGUUUUCUCGACAGAUUCUUCAGCUGGCAGUGAGGAACCAGCUGGAACAGAGUCAUCAGCCUGCUUUGGUGAAGCAGCUGGAUCAGUAGCAGUUGCAUCAGGGAUUGCAGUUUCAUCAGUGGUGGUCUUGGUGAUGAUUUCUUCAAUGGCCGGCUCAUCAGCUCGGCGCUCUUGGUGUUGUUCCUCACUUGGAGGAAUUUCCUCCUCAUCAGGAGAUGCAUCUUCUGGCUGUUCAACCAGGGGCUGAGGAGUUGGUGCUGGUUGUGGGUGUUGCUUGUUGUAGUCAUCAACAGCACUAGUGGCUAGCUUGAUGAAAUUGCGUUUGAUGCUUGUGCGGUCUGACAAUUUCUCACACUUGUCAGUCAAGACUUGCAGCUCUGCCUGGGUUGACACCAAUGCUUCAGGCGUCAGCUUGAGGACAUUUUGCCUGAGGAAUUUCUCCUUUCUGGCCUUUGCAAUAUUUGCCUGCUUGGCCUUCUGUUCCUUCCACUUGGCUUCGUUUAUGAAGGUAGCCACCAUGUGGCUGACGCGAGGAGGAAGUUUCAAAUCAUCAAUGGGUGUGUUUGGGUCUUCAUACCACACAUUGAUGAAGUCGAGGAGGACCUUGGGGUCCAUGGCCAGAGGAAUAGCACUGCCUGAUGCUUGUGCUACCCGUUCUUGCUUGUUUCUGAUGAUGGCUUGCAAAGUUUCAUCAUCAUACUCAUCACUUCCCUCUGAUGCAGACGGGACUGCGAUGAUUUUGCUGGGGCUGGGCAGAGGUGCAGGUUGAGUAGUUGUCAAAGUCUUCAUAAGGGGAGUUGAAGACUUUGUCUCCGAGCUAGUUGCAGCUGGGAGUGAGGAGCUGGAGCUGGCAGUCGUAGUCUUCACGACUUUCUUCUGUACUGGCUUUGGAGGUGGAGCUGAGGACUUUGGUGUAGAUGAGAUGGGUGCUGAGGGUUUUGGCGCUGAUGGUUUGGGAGUUGACGGUUUUGGAACCGAGGGUUUUAGAGCUGAGGGUUUUGUGACAGAACCCUGUCCAGACUUCUCUUAAGGCUUUGGAGCCUUUGGUUUUGAUGGUGCAGACUGCUUUUUAGGAAUCUCUGAGCCUGAGGUUUCUGCUGCUGAGGAAUGAGCAGCACCGGUGGCAGCAGCUGAGGAUUCAUGAAAUUUCUUCACUGCUGUUUCGGCUUCCUUCUUGAGCUUGGCCAGAUGCCUUUCUUUUUCAUCUGGGUAGUCAUCAAGUGUCAUAAGACUUGAGGGAUGAGCUACUUGAUGAUCCUCGAGUGGAGCCCUUCUGCCAGGAGGCUUCAAAGCGAAUUUCUUCGCAUAUUUUGGGGUCACAAACCUGUACUCCUUCCACUCCUUUGCCCAUCUGCAUUCAAUUUUCUGCAGCCUAAUCUUUCUUUUAGGCAUAGUCUCAGGUUCAUCAUCAGGCGUGCAAUAGUCCAUGUAUAUGUCAUCAGGAAUAUCAACAGUUGUGUUCUGCUCCAGUUUCUUUCCUCCCUUCUGUUUCCUUUCUUCCUCCAUUUUCUUCAGACGAGGAAUUUGCUGAUGAUUUUGAACUCUUGAAGAUUCUGAUGAGCCUUGAAGAGUUUCUUCCAGAAACGCUGCAAAUGAGUUAAUGUGAUGAGAACCGAGAGAUUCAUCAGCUGACAUGUGUGUACCUGUGAACAGAGUAUAGUUGCGAGGAAUUUGGAGAGGUCAUAUGCGUUCUCAGAUUUGAAGAAAAUGAAAAAGUUUGACAGUUUGAGGAAUAUAACCAGUGGUUGAGGAAUUUGCUUAAGCAUACUGUUCUUGGGUUCCAGAGUUGUACAGAUCCGAAAAUUCGCACAAUUGAGGAAUCUCAUGAAAAUCUUAGAUGCUUAGCUAGUUCAUCAAUGAUUGUGGUGAUGGAUAGUGUUUGAGGAAUCAUGUGCGCAUCGUAUCUUGAGGAAAAACAGAUUUCACAUGGGAGAGGUAAAACUUCAGAUCUAAUCUGCUGUAAAAAUGGGAUAUAUUUACCCUGGAAGGUGCGAACGAAGAACACAAAAAGGUGGUGUUGGAGAGGCUCUUCGGUCAAGUGUCCAAUGCACCCUAACUUAGCAGCAGAGGACGUCUACGGCGGAGGCGGACGUAGAUGUUCCGACUCCGGCGUGAUCCUGGCGGCGAGAAGGUUGAGGCAGUGAAGCUCUUCCAUGCCGGCGACAAGACAACCAGCGGUGGCGCUAGGGUUCGAUGGAGAGUGUGAUGGCAGGAGAGCGAUGAGGCGAAGAAGAAGAUACUGAAGGGGUUAAGGACAUAUUUAUAGCCCGAAAGUUACUGUUUGGCGCGAAAGUUUCGGACCGAAUAGCCCUUGCCUCUACGUCUCCGCAGGACACGUGUAGCUCCCGUACGAUGCGGUGGAGAUAGUGGAGAUCGUGGCUAUCCGAUCGUGGGAAGUGGGGUUUCAGUUACUGUUCCUUUGAAGAAAACAAUUUUUCGAAGAUUUGAGGAUUUUCGUUACAAAAUCAUCAGCUGACAAGGAUGCAGUGAGGAUUUUGAACAAAGUUUCAAGUAGAACGCAUAUGAAGAAUUGAAUAGACUGGAUAAGUAUAGCAUAGAGGGAAAAUAGGGUCCGAUCACAUUCACUUAGCAGAAACAUCAACUUGAAGAAAUAGCAAUAAGUGAAUGAUGUUGAGGACUAGAAAUCACAGUCUACCUAGGCAAAUGAAAGUCAUCAAGUGUUUUUGAAGAUUUUGCAAUAGAUCAUCACAAUGAAGAACAACUGUUUUGAAGAAAAUGCAUUGUGAGGAAAUUGAUCAUUUGAAGAAAAUCAACUUGAGGAAUUUCACAUUGGGCAGUGGCGUUACCCACCAUAUAAGAAUGUUGAUUACAGACGCCGGGUACAAUUGUCGUAGGGCCCUGAGAAUCAAUUUCUUCGUUAAUUUCUUCACAUUCAGAGUGACUUUCUUCAUUGGUUGAAGAAAAUCGUUUCAUCAUGUGUUGCACAUCUAAGUCAUCAACUUUGCAUAAGUGUUAGGAUGUGUGCAUGUCUUUACAAAACAUUUGAAGACUCUAAGAUAUUUAGCUCACACCGCAACUUGCAAAACCUUUUCUCAUCCAAGGGCUUAGUGAAGAUAUCAGCCAGUUGAUCAUCAGUCUUCACAUGGUCGAUGAGGAUAUUGCCCUUGAGGACAUGGUCCCGAAGAAAAUGAUGACGAAUCUGGAUGUGCUUGGUCUUCGGGUGCUAUACUGGGUUAUAUGCAAUCUUGAUAGCACUCUCAUUGUCACAGUAGAGAGGCACAUUCUUCAUGUUGAUGCCGUAGUCCUUGAGGGUUUACUUCAUCCAUAGUAAUUGAGCACAGCAAGAACCAGCAGCAAUGUACUCAGCUUCGGCAGUGGAGAGUGAUACGCAGUUCUGCUUCUUUGAGGACCAGCAAACUAGUGAUCUUCCGAGGAAAUGGCAUGUGCCAGAUGUUGACUUGCGAUCCACACGGUCACCAGCAUAGUCUGAAUCAGAAUACCCUACCAGAUGAAGAUUGGAGCCCUUGGGAUACCAUAAUCCUAGUGUUGGUGUGUGAGCUAAGUAUCGAAGAAUAUGUUUCACAACCUUAUGGUGUGAUUCCUUCGGUUUUGCUUGAAAACGUGCACACAUGCAAACACUAAGCAUUAUGUCUGGCCUAGAUGCACAUAGAUACAAUGAAGAGCCAAUCAUAGAACGAUAUACCUGCUGAUCGAAAUCUUUACCAUUUUCAUCAGUGCCGAGGUGACCGUUGGUAGGCAUUGGAGUCUUGGCACCUUUGCAUUCAUGCAUGUCGAAUUUCCUCAGAACAUCCUUGAGGUAUUUCUCCUGUGAUAUGAAGAUUCCAUUGUUUUGUUGACGAAUUUGAAGACCUAGGAAGAAUUUCAGCUCCCCCAUCAUGGACAUCUGAUAUUCUUCACUCAUCAUAUAGGCAAAUUCAUCACUGUAUCUUUUGUCAGUACAACCAAAUAUGAUGUCAUCAACAUAUAUUUGACAUACAAACAGCUCAUUAUCAUAAGAUUUUGUGAAAAGAGUUGGAUCGAGUGAACCAGGUUUGAAGCCUUUCUUCAUGAGGAAUUCCUUCAAUGUAUCAUACCAUGCCCGAGGGGCUUGCUUGAGGCCAUACAUAGCCUUUUUGAGUCUGAAGACUUUGUCUGGAUUCUUUGGAUCCUCAAAACCUGGGGGCUGAGCAACAUAUACUUCUUCCUCAAUCUUACCAUUGAGGAAUGCACUUUUCACAUCCAUUUGAUAUAAGAUGAUGUUAUGAUGAUUAGCAUAAGCAAGUAGAAUUCGAAUAGCUUCAAGUCUAGGAACAGGUGCAAAAGUUUCAUCGAAAUCUAUUCCUUCAACCUGGGUGUAGCCUUGGGCUACAAGUCGUGCCUUGUUCCUCACCACUUGACCGUCCUCAUCUUGCUUGUUUCGGAAAAUCCACUUGGUGCUGAUGAUGUUAUGCUUGCGAGGAUCUGGUCGUUUGACGAGCUCCCAUACGUCAUUCAGCUUGAAUUGAAGAAGUUCGUCUUGCAUGGCUUGGAUCCACUCCGGUUCCAGAAAAGCCUCAACUACUUUUGAGGGUUCUGUGAUAGAUACAAAAGAAAAAUGCCCACAAAAGUUAACUAAGUGUGAAGCUUUUGAGCGAGUGAGAGGACCUGGCGCGUUGAUGUCGUUGAGGAUUUUGUCAAGUUCUACUUCAUUUGCAAUCCUCGGAUGAGCUGGUUGAGGAUUUUGUCUGGGCUGAGGAAGUGGUGCUGUUGCAAUUUCCUGAGGAGCAUCUUCUUGACUUUCAUCAGCGAUGGGGAUUGUUUCUUCACCAAUUUCCUCAGUGGGGACAAUGUCUUCAGUAGGCUUAAGCUUUAUUGCUUCCUCAGGAGACAGCUUAUCUGGAUCAGAAGGCAAUUGCUCUCUUUGCGAGCCAUUAGUUUCAUCGAACCGCACAUCUACAGUCUCAACAACUUUGUUGUGAUAGUUGUUGAAGACUCUGUAGGUGUGCGAGUCCUUUCCAUAACCGAGCAUAAAACCUUCAUGUGCCUUAGGUGCAAAUUUUGAGCUAUGAUGAGGAUCUCUAAUCCAGCAUUUUGCACCGAAGACUUUGAAAUAACUUACAUUGGGUUUCUUGUCAGUGAGGAGUUCAUAUGAGGUUUUCUUGAGGAAUUUGUGAAGAUAUACCCUGUUGAUGAUAUUGCAUGCGGUAUUGAUUGCUUCAGGCCAGAAGCGACGAGGAGUCUGAUAUUCUUCAAGCAUAGUUCUUGCCAUCUCAACCAGAGUCCUGUUCUUUCUUUCGACGACACCAUUCUGCUGAGGAGUAUAAGGAGCAGACAAUUCGUGAGUAAUACCAAGUUUAUCAAGAUAAUCAUCAAGACCAGUGUUUUUGAACUCGGUUCCAUUAUCACUCCUAAUAUGUUUGAUCUUGAUGCCGAAGUUCGUCGAGGCCCUUGAAGAAAAUCGUUUGAAGAUUUCCUGCACUUCAGUUUUAUACACUAUGAUAUGCACCCAAGUGUAUCUGGAAUAAUCAUCAACUAUGACAAAGCCAUAUAGAGAUGCUGCAUUGGUUAGUGUUGCAUAGUGAGUAGGUCCAAAUAAAUCCAUAUGAAGCAAUUCAAAUGGACGUGUAGUGGUCAUGAUGGUUUUGGAGGGAUGCUUGGAUCUGGUCAUUUUCCCAGAUUCACAAGCACCACAGAGAUGAUCCUUGAGGAAUUUGACUGAUUCGAUGCCAAUGACAUGCUUCUUCUUUGCAAGUGUGUGCAAAUUCCUCAUGCCUGCAUGACCUAGUCUUCGGUGCCACAACCAUCCUUCUGAGGUUUUUGCUAGUAAGCAAGUGGCUGGUUGAGGACCUGUAGAGAAGUCAACAAUGUACAAAUCCCCUCUUCUUACACCUUCGAAGACUUUGGAUCUGUCAGAUUCCAUGAUGAUUACACAUCUAUAUCUACCAAAGAUAACAAUCAUAUCAAGAUCACAAAGCAUCGAGACUGACAUGAGGUUAAAACCAAGGGAUUCAACAAGCAUCACUUUGUCCAUAUGCCUAUCCUUGGAAAUAGCUACUUUGCCAAGUCCCAAUACCUUGCUUUUACCUUUGUCAGCAUAUGUGAUUUGCUUCAGAGGUGAUGGAGUUAGUGGCAUAUUCAUCAGUAAGAUUUUAUCACCAGUCAUGUGAUGUGUGCAGCCACUAUCGAGAACCCACUCAGUAUUUUUGGGUUUGUCAUCCUGCAGAUGAAUUAGUACACCUUACCAUCUCAUAUGCUUCAGAUUUGAAGAAUAUGAUACUAAUUUCAUCAGUUCAGUGAUUUCAUCAUAACAUAAAUGUAAGGACGUGUGAAAUAUUUCUAUUUCAUCAAUCAUUAGCUUGCGUCCUAUCAAGCAUUUCCUCAGGUCUCCAGCAAAUUCUUAAGAUGAUGAUUUUCAUCUGGAGACCUGUCCAGCAGAAGUGAUUAGUUUGAUUUCUUCACCACCCACAUCUGAAGGGGUGGCAAAGCAUUCAUCAUCCUGCGAGCACCAUAUGAGAAAGGUGGCAUUGAAGCUAAUGCACUUCUCUUAACAGUAGGGGGGUUAAAGUACUCAUAUGAGUAUGCAGAGAACUGGUUUGAGGAUUUAUGAACAUAAUGAUUUGAGGAGUAGCGCUCAUAAUCAUAUUCCUUGUAGUUUCCCUGCAUGUUAGACGCAUAAGCACGGGUACGCGCAUAGUUUUGACCAGUUGAGGAUUUUGAUCCUCUUGAAGACUUUGGUCCUCCUGAGGAAUUUGAUCUGGGUUUCAGAUUCUUCAGAGGUGAUGUCAUGAGAACAUUCACUUGAAGAUUUUCAAGACAACUUUUGGGAACCCAGAUUUUCCUCAGAGGAGGGCCAUUCCUGCAGUUAGUUCCAACAUAUCGAGCAAAUACUUCACCUGAUUGAUUUUUGAACAGUUUAUAGUUGGAAUCAAAUGACUCAUCCGAGGAAUAGGAUAAUUCACAUGAGAAGCCAGUUAGAUUAGAUGGAUCAAAAGGAGGCCCAGUAGCAGCAACCCAUGAGGUUUUGGGAUACUGCUCAGGUUUCCAAUAAGAUCCAUCAGCAUUCAAUUUCCUCUCAAAGGCAAUUCCUUCUUUCCUCGGGUUCCUGUUCAAGAUCUGCGUUUUGAGCACAUCACAAAGGGUUUGGUGUCCUUUGAGGCUUUUGUACAUGCCUGUCAAGUACAAUUCCUUCAACCCUGCAUUUUCAUGAGUGACAUUUGUGUUUUCCUCAAGUGAGGAAAUAGACACAACAGGUGCAGUUGAAGAAUUUGUACGGGUGGUAGCAUUUGAAGAUUCUGGUGAAGAAUUAGCAGUUUCACGAUCAAUGCAUUUAAGACAUGGAGGAAUAAAUUCAACUUGACUAGCACUGAUCUGUUGAGCUAGUAAUGAAUCAUUUUCCAUACGAAGAUCAUCAUAAGACAUCCUCAGCUUCUCAAGAUCAAGCUUCCUUUGAAGAAAUUCGUAGGAAACCUUCUCAUGAUUAGUGAGGAGUGUAUCAUAACGAUCCUCAAGAAUAUCAAAUCUAGACUGAAGAUUUUUCAUGUCAUCAGCGAGAAUUUGAUUAAGAUUCAUUUCAUCAUUCAACAGAUCAUCACUUUUGUCUAGCAGUUUUUGAAGCUUUUCCAGAGCAGUUUGUUGUUUAGUGGCAAUGAUGGCAAGUUUACUGUAACUGGGUUCUUUGUAAUCAUCAUGUUCACAGUCACUUGAAUCAGAGGAGGAGGCAUUAUGUGAUACCUUUGAACCUUUUGCCAUGAAGCAAUAGGUUGGAGCGAAGUCAUCAGCAUAGUCAUCAGUAUGGAUGGUGCACUCAUUUUCUUCAAGAUUGAAGAUUGACUUGCUCACGAAAUUGGUUACUAGUGCAAGACUAGCCUGUCCGGAUUCUGAAUCUUCUCCAGAGCCUUCUUCAUCAUCACAUUCUUCUGAUUCUGCCUCGGAAUCCAUUUCCUUGUCAAUAAGUGCCCGAGCCUGUCUGAAGCUAGUCUUCUUGUGUGAGGAGGACUUUGAAGAUGAGGAUUUUGAAGAUUUCUUCUUCUUCUUUGAGUCAUCAGAACUGUCAUCCUUGUAUUUCUUCUUCUUUGAUUCCUUUCCCCAGCGAGGACAAUGAGCAAUGUAAUGACCUGAUUUCUUGCACUUGUGACAGGUCCGUUUCUUGUAGUCCUCAGAUGCAGAUUCUGAUUUCCUCAUGUCUCUUCUUGAUGAUUUACCGAACUGGCCUCGUCGUGUAAAUCUCUGGAAUUUCCUCACAAGCAUUGCAAGUUCCUGACCAAAUUCUUCAGGGUCACAGCUGCUGUCAUCUGUGUCUUCUUCUUCGGAUGAGGAAAUUGCUCUUGUCUUCAGUGCACGUGGUCUGGAAUAGCUUUGUCCAUAUAGAUCUCUCUUUUCUUCUAGCUGGAAUUCAUGAGUAUUUAGCCUUUCGAGGAUAUCAGCAGGAUCUAACAUCUUGUAGUCUGGUCUUUCUUGAAUCAUCAGAACUAAAGUGUCAAAUGAAGAAUCCAAAGAUCUCAGCAGUUUCUUCACAACUUCGUGAUCAGUGAUGUCUCGAGCUCCCAGUGCUUGCAGUUCAUUUGAUAUGUCAGUGAGGCAAUCAAAGGUGUCUUGGCAACUUUCAUUGUCAUGUCUCUUGAAGCGAUUGAAGAGAUUGCGAAGAAUAUCAAUAUCAACACGAGAGUCACGUUGGGUUGAUACUCCUUCAUUUACCUUGCACAGUCUCUCCCAGAUCAGUGUUGCAGAGCCUAAGGCACUUACUCUUCCAAACUGGCCAGGGCUCAGAUGACCACAGAUGAUGUUCUUUGCUUGAGAAUCAAGUUGCUUGAAUUUCUUCACAUCAGUUGCAGUGACACUAGCAGAAAUGAUGGGGACACCAUUUUCCACAAUAUACCAGAGAUCAUUGUCUAUAGCUUGUAGAUGCAUUUGCAUUUUGUUCUUCCAGAAGAGAAAGUUCUUUCCCUCGUAGGUAGGACAUGCUGCAGUCACCUUAAACAUGCCUGCAGUCGACAUAACUAAAACUCAGGUGGUUAAACCAAAAUCACACAGAACAAGGAAGUACCUUGCUCUGAUACCAAUUGAAAGUGCGUUAUAUCGACUAGAGGGGGGUGAAUAGGAGAUUUUUAGAAUUUCGUCACUGAGGAAAUUCCUUUUGAGGAAAUUCCUCACUGAUGACUAACUUACAGCGGAAGCAGUUAAGGAUCAGUCGUGCAAUCGUUCACAACAGCAGUAUUACAGAGUGAAGAUUAUGAAAACAGAUCGCACAGUAAGCAGGCACGCAGAAUACAGAUGAUGAUUAACUCAAGUGAAGAAUUUGGGGUUGAGGAAAUUCAGAGAAAGUCUUCAGCAAAUUCUUCAAACAGUCACAGUGAAUGUCAUCAACACAUAAUACAGAGAAUGUAAAGAGUUGAGNNNNNNNNNNNNNNNNNNNNNNNNNNNNNNNNNNNNNNNNNNNNNNNNNNNNNNNNNNNNNNNNNNNNNNNNNNNNNNNNNNNNNNNNNNNNNNNNNNNNACGCUCGCCGACACGCUCGCAUGCGGCGCCGUUGGCCACAUCAUGGGCGUCGGCAUCGUGCUCGGCCUCAAGAACACCGGCGUCCUCGACCAGAUCAUCGGCUAGAAUAACCCUUCCUUUUCCCUCCAUAGCUGUUCUGCAUCCAUCGGGCGCUCCAUCUAGUGGAUCAACUAAUGCUCCCUUCGUAAUUUGAUCAUGUGAAUGUAUGUGUAUGCAUCUUUGUUUCAGCGGGACGUACCGCCGCGCCGGUGUGGCAACUGCUUCAUCCCAUGCGUUUUUUCACCAUCUAUAGUAGACUAUUA